rnacentral:rRNA from 1 species
AGAGUUUGAUCAUGGCUCAGAUUGAACGCUAGCGGGAUGCCUUACACAUGCAAGUCGAACGGCAGCGCGGACUUCGGUCUGGCGGCGAGUGGCGAACGGGUGAGUAAUGUAUCGGAACGUGCCCAGUAGCGGGGGAUAACUACGCGAAAGCGUAGCUAAUACCGCAUACGCCCUACGGGGGAAAGCGGGGGACCUUCGGGCCUCGCACUAUUGGAGCGGCCGAUAUCGGAUUAGCUAGUUGGUGGGGUAACGGCUCACCAAGGCGACGAUCCGUAGCUGGUUUGAGAGGACGACCAGCCACACUGGGACUGAGACACGGCCCAGACUCCUACGGGAGGCAGCAGUGGGGAAUUUUGGACAAUGGGGGCAACCCUGAUCCAGCCAUCCCGCGUGUGCGAUGAAGGCCUUCGGGUUGUAAAGCACUUUUGGCAGGAAAGAAACGGCGCUGGUUAAUACCUGGCGCAACUGACGGUACCUGCAGAAUAAGCACCGGCUAACUACGUGCCAGCAGCCGCGGUAAUACGUAGGGUGCAAGCGUUAAUCGGAAUUACUGGGCGUAAAGCGUGCGCAGGCGGUUCGGAAAGAAAGAUGUGAAAUCCCAGGGCUUAACCUUGGAACUGCAUUUUUAACUACCGGGCUAGAGUGUGUCAGAGGGAGGUGGAAUUCCGCGUGUAGCAGUGAAAUGCGUAGAUAUGCGGAGGAACACCGAUGGCGAAGGCAGCCUCCUGGGAUAACACUGACGCUCAUGCACGAAAGCGUGGGGAGCAAACAGGAUUAGAUACCCUGAUAGUCCACGCCCUAAACGAUGUCAACUAGCUGUUGGGGCCUUCGGGCCUUGGUAGCGCAGCUAACGCGUGAAGUUGACCGCCUGGGGAGUACGGUCGCAAGAUUAAACUCAAAGGAAUUGACGGGGACCCACACAAGCGGUGGAUGAUGUGNUUAAUUCGAUGCACGCGAAAACCUUACCUACCCUUGACAUGUCUGG